rnacentral:rRNA from 1 species
UACAGAGGGUGCAAGCGUUAAUCGGAUUUACUGGGCGUAAAGCGCGCGUAGGCGGCUAAUUAAGUCAAAUGUGAAAUCCCCGAGCUUAACUUGGGAAUUGCAUUCGAUACUGGUUAGCUAGAGUGUGGGAGAGGAUGGUAGAAUUCCAGGUGUAGCGGUGAAAUGCGUAGAGAUCUGGAGGAAUACCGAUGGCGAAGGCAGCCAUCUGGCCUAACACUGACGCUGAGGUGCGAAAAGCAUGGGGAGCAAACAGG